rnacentral:rRNA from 1 species
CCUACGGGUGGCAGCAGUGAGGAAUUUUGGUCAAUGGGCGGAAGCCUGAACCAGCCAAGUCGCGUGAGGGAUUAAGGCCCUGCGGGUCGUAAACCUCUUUUGCCGGGGAGCAGAGGUCCGGACGUGUCCGGGCCGGGAGAGUACCCGGAGAAAAAGCAUCGGCUAACUCCGUGCCAGCAGCCGCGGUAAUACGGAGGAUGCGAGCGUUAUCCGGAUUUAUUGGGUGUAAAGGGUGCGUAGGCGGGCCUUUAAGCCGGCGGUCAAAUGUCGGGGCUCAACCCCGGCCUGCCGUCGGAACUGGGUGCCUUGAGUGGGCGAGAAGUAUGCGGAAUGCGUGGUGUAGCGGUGAAAUGCAUAGAGAUCACGCAGAACCCCGAUUGCGAAGGGAGCAUACCGGCGCCCUACUGACGCUGAGGCACGAAAGUGCGGGUAUCGAACAGGAUUAGAUACCCUGGUAGUC